rnacentral:rRNA from 1 species
UACGGGGGGGGCAGGCGUUGUUCGGAAUUACUGGGCGUAAAGGGCUCGUAGGCGGCCAACUAAGUCAGACGUGAAAUCCCUCGGCUUAACCGGGGAACUGCGUCUGAUACUGGAUGGCUAGAGGUUGGGAGAGGGAUGCGGAAUUCCAGGUGUAGCGGUGAAAUGCGUAGAUAUCUGGAGGAACACCGGUGGCGAAGGCGGCAUCCUGGACCAAUUCUGACGCUGAGGAGCGAAAGCCAGGGGAGCAAACGGG